UACGUAGGGCCCGAGCGUUAUUCGGUAUUAUUGGGCGUAAAGAGCGCGUAGGCGGUUAAGUAAGACAGCGGUGAAAGACCCGAGCUCAACUCGGAGAACGCCACUGUUACUGCUUAACUAGACGAUAGCAGAGGCAAGCAGAAUUCUCGGUGUAGGAGUGAAAUCCGUUGAGAUCGAGAGGAAUACCAAUGGCGAAGGCAGCUUGCUAGGCUAUAUGUGACGCUGAGGCGCGAAAGCGUGGGGAGCGAACGGG
rnacentral:rRNA from 1 species